rnacentral:rRNA from 1 species
UACGAAGGGGGCUAGCGUUGCUCGGAAUUACUGGGCGUAAAGGGAGCGUAGGCGGAUAGUUUAGUCAGAGGUGAAAGCCCAGGGCUCAACCUUGGAAUUGCCUUUGAUACUGGCUAUCUUGAGUACGGAAGAGGUAUGUGGAACUCCGAGUGUAGAGGUGAAAUUCGUAGAUAUUCGGAAGAACACCAGUGGCGAAGGCGACAUACUGGUCCGUUACUGACGCUGAGGCUCGAAAGCGUGGGGAGCAAACAGGAUUAGAUACCC